GGAUAGAAUCCAUGGCGGAGCACCCCAUUCCGGGUGCAGAGGUUCGGCCGAGCAGGAAGUCAAGCCGGAUAGCAGCAAUCAAGUUGAAGAGGGCAAGGCAGUCCACUCGGAGUAUGCCAGGCCCCCGUCACCAGCCACCUGAUGGACCGGGUUUGCUGCUUUUGUGAGCCCUGUGGACGUCCGACAGGACUCGGUGAUGAAGCCUUUGCUUUUUCUGUUUAAAGGUGGCACCUGGGUAGCCUUUGACAAUGGUGGAGGAGUUGCAGCAGACCCUGCGACGACAGCGUGGCCUCCGUGCACGGCGCAAUCGUGCCGCACGAGGACCCGGGCAUUCUUAGGAGAGCGGAGACUACGAGACAACAGCCCAGUGACAGCAGGAACUUCCCAGAUGGCGAGGCAGCCUUCCUUUGCACCUGACACGGACCCGGUUCCCCAGAUGUCAGAGAUAAGUAGAAGGCUGUGACCCAGACAGGGGAUGAAAGCGG